rnacentral:rRNA from 1 species
CUAAACGACGACCAACUAUGGAUUGGAGUGACUCGUCGGCAACAGGGAGCUAUCUAGCUUAGCUCCCUCUCACCCACCCCGCCCGCGACCUCGUCGUCUUCCUCUCCUCUCUCUCCCGUCCGUCCAACUUGGUGGCCUGCCUGCUGCUCUGCUCUUCCGUCCGUGCGUGCGUGCGUGCGUGCUGGGAUCGCCAUGGAGGUCUCCGGCCCCGUCGUCACGCUCACCCCCGGUCAGGUGUCCUUUCUGCUUCGUCUUUUCCCGGUCCUCGUCGCAUGGAUCUACUCCGAGGUCCUGUACUACAAGAAGAAACCUUCGUCGACACACGGGCCCCGGAACAGAUAUACCAAAGCCAAUUUAUUACGUAUCUGCUAAAUGAUGGUGCUAUAUCCCUUGAGUGGAAGGUGGACGCUGCCAG